UCUCUUUUUAAACAGAUGCCAACAGUGAAAAGGCAUUACAUGCCACCCCAAAACUCAGGUUUCAAGCCUUUCUUGAAAAAACCAGAGCAUCUGGUAACACUGGGCCCUACUGGUCUACCUCUGAUGCUGGUACUGUCUGUCAUCUCCCGUGGACCCCUUUGGCCACACUUGCCGAGAGAGCACUUGUGUGCUAACCUGUUCUAAGCUGUUUAUAUGAAUUACUUUAACAGCUCUGAGAGGGAGCACUGUUAACCCAUUCAGCUGACAUACAGCUGAAGAAAUGGAGGCUGGAGAGGUUAGCACUGGCCUGGCCCUGGCGUCUGUCUCCCAGGUCCUCCCUCUUGACCACUCUGCCUUUCAGCCGAGCAUUGUGCACACACAUGGCGCAUCUGUGCGUCACACACCCAUGGUUGGUGGCAGCUACAGCAGGUGUGUCCUGUGGAUAGAGGGGGUUCUGUUCCAGCUCUUAAGGACAGGGCCAGCACUGUGUUCCUCAAGUGGGUUUGGGCCCUGGCAGACCCUGUGAUUGUGAGAGUUCUGUGCUAUGUCUGUGGGUGGAGGGGACGGGCAGGAAGAGACAGCACGGAACAGCACUGAAGGGUUCCUCCCUGGUGCAGAGAGAAUUUGCGCCCAUCUGUUGGGGGCUGGAUGUCUUGGUCAUUGGGUGGUGCUGAGUGACAGCUUCAUGAAGGUGCCUGGACAUGGGGAGAUGUGAAAUCAACCUUCUGGCUGUGUUCCACAGCUCCCCAUCUCUCCCAUGAGAGAGAAAAACUCUUCUGUUUUUUCUAGACGUUUCUUGAACAAAAGUUCUGAAGACGAUGCAGCCUCAGAGAGCUUCCUCCCCUCGGACGGUGCGUCCUCUGACCCCGUGACCCUGCGUCGAAGGAUGCUGGCUGCUGCCGCGGAACGGAGGCUUCAGAAGCAGCAGACCUCCUAGCGCUCCCUUGCCUUCCGCAGCUGCCUCCUGCGCCCUGUGCCCGACUGACUGGAGGAGGCUUGUCCCAAUUCUGCCCGCUCCAUGGAAAAGCGGGCUUGACUGCAUUGCCGCUGUAUAAAGCAUGUGGUCUUAUAGUGUUUGGACAGCUGAUAAAUUUAAUCCUUCUUUGUAAUACUUUCUAUGUGACAUUUCUCUUCCCCUUAGAAACACUGCAAAUUUUAACUCUAGGUAUGAUCUCUUCUGGUGUUGACUGGACUGCUUGGGGUGGGGGACGAUCAGGAGGAAGUGAGCAGUCACUUGCCUGCAGCAGGCAGCUUCUACUCCUGCCUCAUGCGUACAUCCCACAAAUGCAGGUGUCUGAGCACCACAUCCAGUGGGAAGAGUGUGGGGGAGACGCACAGUGUGAGCCCGCCCCCACAUCGUGGGGUAACAUCUGUUAUCAAACUGCUGUCGUUGUUGUGGAAGCAUGUAGACUGUGCCAGAGGCCAGACCCACAGGCUCAUGUACCCCUGAGCCAGCAGGGCAUCUUGGAAAAGGAAUUCUUGGUUCAAUACCUGGAGCAGAGGAGGGGAAAGUCCAGGGCUAUAGGGUGUGACGAAAUCACCCCUUUCUGUCCCACUACAUCUGGGACUGACUUUCUGAGCCUCCAGUCCAAAGCCGGCUUGAUUUCCAUGAACUCUGGUGCUCCUGCAUCUCAUGAGUGUGCCCCAUGGGUCCCCUCCCCUCUGAGCAUUUCCUUGUCCCGUCUGGACCUGGGGAGUGGUUAAGCAGCAAGGUUUGGUUUAUGGUUUUCAUUCAUUGGUCAAGUAAAUUAGGCAAUGCUAAAGCCUGUAGGUUUGGUCCUUGAACAAGAUGUGGGCCCUGCAAGAUGGGAGAGUAAACCUUGAAGGGCUUUAUUAAAGAAAU
rnacentral:sRNA from 1 species